UGAACUUCUUUCCUAGUAUCC
rnacentral:piRNA from 1 species